CCUACGGGAGGCAGCAGUGAGGAAUAUUGGUCAAUGGGAGAGAUCCUGAACCAGCCAAGCCGCGUGAGGGAAGACGGCCCUAUGGGUUGUAAACCUCUUUUGUCGGAGAACAAAACCCGGGACGUGUCCCGGACUGCGUGUAUCCGAAGAAAAAGCAUCGGCUAACUCCGUGCCAGCAGCCGCGGUAAUACGGAGGAUGCGAGCUUUAUCCGGAUUUAUUGGGUUUAAAGGGUGCGUAGGCGGUCCGUUAAGUCAGCGGGAAAAUUGCGGGGCUAAACCCCGUCGAGCCGUUGAAACUGGCAGACUUGAGUUGGCGAGAAGUACGCGGAAUGCGCGGUGUAGCGGUGAAAUGCAUAGAGAUCGCGCAGAACUCCGAUUGCGAAGGCAGCGUAACGGCGCCAGACUGACGCUGAGGCACGAAAGCGUGGGGAUCGAACAGGAUUAGAUACCCCAGUAGUC
rnacentral:rRNA from 1 species